CUGCACCACCCUGUCCCUCAGAGUGAGGGCAAGAGACAGAUGGUCCGGAGCAGGGGCCUGCAUAAUUGUCCCAUCUCCCACUGAGUCUUGUUGGCACAGGGACCACUAAGGCAGAGGCAAGGUGGGUGAGGAGCUAAGAAAGGGGCUCUGACAGUCACAGGGAGAGUUGUCAAAACCAGCAGUGUUUUGCCCCAGAAUGCUGUAAACAAGACACCCCUCAAGUCAAAGCAUUGGAAGAAGGCAUGCGGGGGGGGACACUGCCCAUGUGCUGCCAGUUUGGCUCUGAAUAAAGACUCGGUUCAAGGAUUUGCCCAUCAAAGAAUUGUCUGGGGAGACCAGCAAGUGCAAGGUACCUCUUCACCUGGCAUUGCAGGUGCUUCUCUAGACACCCCUCCUCAGGAAAGACGGAGCUGGCCUGUAGCAGGUUUCUGCGCACCUUGACUGCGGGAAAGGAGAGGGUGCCUUUAGUCAGUCGGGACGUUCCCUGGGUCUUGACUCGGGCAGGCCCAAAGGGAUGCAAAGCCUCAGCCCCGUGUUUCAGCGCGGCACGGAGUCCGCACUGUCAUGGAUAAAGAUUGGAGUCGCAGCUCAUCCCUGGCUGCAGGAGCAGGACACCGGAGCAACCACGGCUCGAUGACUGAGGCAGUAUGCGAACUUAGAAGAUGAGAUUACUUCUCCUCAAAUUAUUUCCCGUUUUACACCCUAUAAGGCUUUAGGAACAAAUUAGCAAUCAUCAGGACAAAACGAAUGCACCAGGAGACAACGAAGGCCGAAGCAGCACUGCCUGGGAGGCACCCGCGCCCUCUCCAGCCCGGGCGGGCUGAGCAGCACCAGGGCCGGGGCAGGGCCCCGCUGCCGCCUCAGCCCUGGGACACGCACACGAUCGGCCUCACAGCCUGGCUGCUCCAGCUCCAGCCGGCGGUGAGGUGCGUGCUGAGCCUGCUCUUGCAAGCUGGAAGCAUAUUUCAGGAAUAAAGCAUACAAGAGCCAGUUUUGAUCAUAAAAAUUGUGAUCAGGCACAGAGGGAUAAGGUACAUGAACUCACCUCUUGCAACAUCUGGAAUACUGCCAGCAACUUUCCACUCCACCUCAUAAGCCAGCCUCUUUCACCUCCUCUCCUUUCCUUAUGGGAGGAAGGCUAGUCCCAUAAUUACUCUUUUGCAAUUAUUUCCCAGGAACACCCCACCCACUUAAGCACAUGUCUGUCAUAGCUAUACCAUCAGCUUCUGGCUUUACUCUCUUAUUGUCAGUCUGCUCUCCAUUUCCUCAGCAGCCUGGGACACAUUUUCUCAAUGGUCACGUCCAGCCAACAACCACAACCAAGAGCAAGCAAAAAGCCCCAAGGUGCUUGGCAGAUGGAGCUCUUGCACAUUUCUCAACCACAGCAUUCCAUUGCCGCUAUGGAGUGCUACAGACCCAACUGGAGACAGAUCCUUUCUGAUCUGUGGAUCUCAUGUAGCCAGCAGGAGCAGAAAUGAGUACCAAUGCAUCUAAAGUCCCACGAUCAGCAGAUCUUCCCAAAACACAACAGGAAGAAGGCUGAGUAAGCAGUUGUCAUAUUUCAGAUCACUAAUAGCUGCAACAUUUCCCAAAGGGAACUAGUAAUAUAAUGUGCAGAGUUAGUACAUUUAUAAACUCACUCCCCACCCACCCAAGAGAACAUACAAGCUCCCUGAAAAGAAGGCAGUGUAACAAACAUUGGUGCUGCUGCCAGCUGAUAUCCCAACAGGGAAAAAAUGCCAAAUAUCCUCCACUCUGUUAAGGCCACGUAACACCAGAAGGAGACAUCCAGCACAGCCUUGCAUCCGCUCAGUUUCUAGGGCAAAUCCUUGGCUUGGCCAUGUCAAGUCCUUGGCCUUUGGUAUGUAGUACAGGUCAGGCCCCUCCCUCUGAAGAGGAAGGGUUUCUGCUGUCAUAGACAAAUUGCCAGGUUCACUAAUCCUGCCAUGGCUCUGGAAGACAGCCAGAGAAAAACAACUCACAGACAGUUUGUUUGUUCCUUGCUACCACCCUCCAUCACUAAUCAUCCAAGAUACCUUUUACAAAAGUGAAGAUCCAACAAAGAUCCUUGCUGCAGUUUAUCUAGAGAGAUUAUACUGGAGUACCAGUGAUCUUGUCUACCUUGAAAGCAUGUGUGAGAUGCAGUGAAUAUAUAGAAGACACAAAUUUCUUACCAGGUUGAUCUUCAAUUACCAGCUUUUGGAAAAACAAAAAAACCCAACCACCAAUGCAAAAAAUAACGAACCAACCAAGACCCUUAACAAAUCAACCAACCAACCAACCAAGGUUUAGUUAAAAAAAAAAGAAUAGAAAGGUAGAGAGAAAGCUGUCCUCAUGGGAAAAACUUAGUUAUUCAGAACUUUACUUCUUCCAAUGAAAAUAAAAGGAAAAUUCUGAUUACUCUGUGGAUGUUCUCAGCCCAAAUGUAACAAAGCAUGGUCCAAGUGGCUGACUUGUUCUCAGAUUUUUCCCCCUACCUGAGGGUUCAACCAAGAGUCACUGCAGGACAAAUACAAAACCUUGCAAUGCUUUUGAAAUCAGUUAAUCCAGAAAAGAAAAGCAGGGAACUGUAUACCUGUUACCAGCACACUUAACACAUGGAAAGUGCACAGCAAGAAC